rnacentral:lncRNA from 1 species
CUCCUGACCUCGUGAUCCGCCUGCCUUGGCCUCCCAAAGUGCUGGGAUUACAGGUGUGAGCCAGCACGCCCAGCUCUUAAAUUUUUCAUUUUUGAGACGGAGGCUUAACUCUGUCACCCAGGCUGGAGUGCAGUGGUGCAGUCUCGACUCACUGUAACCUCUGCCUCCUGGGUUCAAGUGAUUCCCCUGUCCUACUCUCUGGAGUAGCUAGGAUUACAGGUGUACACAACCACACAUGGCUAAUUUUUGUAUUUUUAGUAGAGGUGGGAUUUCGCCAUGUUGGCUAGGCUGGUCUCGAACUCCUGACCUCAGGUGAUUCACCUGCCUCGGCCUCCCAAAGGCAGGAGAAUGGCCUAAACCCGGGAGGCGGAGCUUGCAGUGAACAGAGAUCGCACCACUGAACUCCAGCCGGGGCAACAGAGGGAGACUCCGUCUCAAAAAAAAAAAAAAAAAAGUGAAUUAAGUU